GCGGCUGUGGCGGAAUUGGCAUACGCGACGGACUUAAAAUCCGUUGUCCAUUAAGGACGUGUGGGUUCGAGUCCCACCAGCCGCA
rnacentral:tRNA from 1 species